CGGGUAGAGUAACGCGUGAGUAACCUGCCUCAUACAACGGGAUACCUGAGGGAAACUUCAGUUAAUACGGUAUAAGACCACACUGCCGCAUGGCAGAGGGGUAAAAGGAGCAAUCCGGUAUGAGAUGGACUCGCGUCGCAUUAGCUAGUUGGUGAGGUAACGGCCCACCAAGGCGACGAUGCGUAGCCGACCUGAGAGGGUGAUCGGCCACAUUGGGACUGAGAUACGGCCCAGACUCCUACGGGAGGCAGCAG
rnacentral:rRNA from 1 species